AACAAGGCGUACCUGCGGACCUGCGGAGGGAUCAUUACCGAGUUUACAACUCCCAAACCCCUGUGAACAUACCACUUGUUGCCUCGGCGGAUCAGCCCGCUCCCGGUAAAACGGGACGGCCCGCCAGAGGACCCCUAAACUCUGUUUCUAUAUGUAACUUCUGAGUAAAACCAUAAAUAAAUCAAAACUUUUAGCAAUGGAUCU
rnacentral:misc_RNA from 1 species